AUUGCUAUUUGUGAAGUAAGGAUAGACCAUUGUGGUAAUAAUAUACUUGUUAAGAUUUGCUGCUGCUUGUUGUAUUUCAGGAAGAAUAACGAUAAAUGAUGUGCGGCAACAAUCGAAAAUUCAUGUGUUCGAUUCGCAACUUUUAUGCUUUGUAAAAAACUGCAAAGAUACUUAAGCUGUUUCAAAGACAUACCACCUUGAUCUACUAAGUCUAAGCUUUGCAGCAAUGCCAAAGUUGUAGGUAAAAGAAAUCUAGUUUAGAAGAAAUCGCGUUCGGAAAUGGAUGGUGACCGGAAGCAUAGAUUGUAUUACUAAGUAACAAUCUAUGCCGGAAGUGAGUGUUUGACUCUACAACAUAGCAAAUGUAGAACCUCAGACAAACAAACCAUUCAUGUAAUUCUCGUGUUACAAAUGAUACUACAAAUGCUGCUCAGGGUUUUACAACUAUGAUGUUUAAAGUACUCAAGAAAUGCUAGGAUUUGUGCUCGGUAUUAUAAUGUGUAUAAUGUACUUCAUAGACAGAAGGCAGCCCCAAGAAGUACAGAGACUGACAACAAAUGGCCUCAUUAGCAGAUGACAUGGAGCUAAUGAGACAGAAUAUGCUUAAGCCUGCAGCAGCAGAUGCUGGCCAGGAUGUCACAAUUGCAGGCAGCAGUACAGCCUGAGCCUGGGGAUCACAAUGAACUUGAAGUCAGGAGGAGGAAGAGUUCACUAGAAAGAAAUUGCAAAAUGAUGUCUACUGCUAGAGCUGGUUCUUGGAGAGAUUUGAGCACUAAUGAGAUGUCUUAUGGAUCCCAGAGAAAGAUUGCCACCUUUCUGGACUCAUCUCACACCCUCAACUGGAAAGACUUGUGCUCAAUGAUGCCAGAAUACGGUCCUCUACAGAUGCAGCAGUUAUCCCAGCAGGAGGCGAGGGGGAAGAGUCCCACUAUAUCACUGUUGAGCCACAUGGCAUCAAGAGGUAGGACUGUUGGCCAGUUGUAUGACUUUUGCAAUGAGCAGGAGGAGCCUAACUACCCGGGCAGUAUCCUAUAUGUGAACUGACAAGGAAUACAAACCUUACUUUUGUUACUCGUUCUGUGAGCUGGUCAUGAGGCUAGCCUUAUCUUUGUCAUUUGUGUACAUAAUGUAUCCUCAUCCUCUUGAAGACUGUUUUGUAUUUAAGUCAUUAACUUUUGUCAUUUUGGUGUGUGUCAUUUUGGAAGAAUUUGUUGAGUUAAAUCGGUCUGUUACAGUGUACAUAUUAGGAUUACAUCAUGAUAUCCUUUAUCAAUAUACACAAUCAUUCAGUGUUGAGUAUACACAUGGAGACAGGCUGACAAUCACAAAAGGAAGGAAGUACAGCUCAUUAAUGGGCCAAUACGUGAACAUAAACUGAUUCAUUAACUUUUUUAUUCACAAGCAAAGUAUUGCAAAAUUUCCCUUGAAAAUGCUUAACAUUCACAAUCAUUAAAUCACACUCAUGUAAGAGGAAAAGAUACUCAGAAUUGAGUCUAUUACUUACUACAUUACUUGCAUACAUGCAUAGUGUGUUAAUCUUUUAUUUAUAUGUCACGGACUGGUUUAACUCAACAAAUUCUUCCAAAAUAA
rnacentral:lncRNA from 1 species